UACGUAGGGGGCAAGCGUUGUCCGGAUUUAUUGGGCGUAAAGAGCGUGUAGGCGGCUUUACAGGUCCGUUGUGAAAACUCGAGGCUCAACCUCGAGACGCCGGUGGAAACCGUAAAGCUAGAGUCCGGAAGAGGAGAGUGGAAUUCCUGGUGUAGCGGUGGAAUGCGCAGAUAUCAGGAGGAACACCGGUGGCGAAGGCGGGAUCCUGGGCCAGUACUGACGCUGAGGAGCGAAAGCGUGGGGAGCAAACAGG
rnacentral:rRNA from 1 species